UAGGGAAUCUUCGGCAAUGGACGAAAGUCUGACCGAGCAACGCCGCGUGAGUGAAGAAGGUUUUCGGAUCGUAAAGCUCUGUUGUAAGAGAAGAACGGGUGUGAGAGUGGAAAGUUCACACUGUGACGGUAUCUUACCAGAAAGGGACGGCUAACUACGUGCCAGCAGCCGCGGUAAUACGUAGGUCCCGAGCGUUGUCCGGAUUUAUUGGGCGUAAAGCGAGCGCAGGCGGUUUGAUAAGUCUGAAGUUAAAGGCUGUGGCUCAACCAUAGUUCGCUUUGGAAACUGUCAAACUUGAGUGCAGAAGGGGAGAGUGGAAUUCCAUGUGUAGCGGUGAAAUGCGUAGAUAUAUGGAGGAACACCGGUGGCGAAAGCGGCUCUCUGGUCUGUAACUGACGCUGAGGCUCGAAAGCGUGGGGAGCGAACAGGAUUAGAUACCCUGGUAGUCCACGCCGUAAACGAUGAGUGCUAGGUGUUGGAUCCUUUCCGGGAUUCAGUGCCGCAGCUAACGCAUUAAGCACUCCGCCUGGGGAGUACGACCGCAAGGUUG
rnacentral:rRNA from 1 species